rnacentral:rRNA from 1 species
GGGCCCGCACAAGCGGCGGAGCAUGCGGAUUAAUUCGAUGCAACGCGAAGGACCUUACCUGGGUUUGACAUACACCCUGCCGCUCCAGAGAUGGGGCUUCUUUUGGGGGUGUACAGGUGGUGCAUGGCUGUCGUCAGCUCGUGUCGUGAGAUGUUGGGUUAAGUCCCGCAACGAGCGCAACCCUCGUUCUAUGUUGCCAGCGCGUGAUGGCGGGGACUCAUCGAAGACUGCCGGGGUCAACUCGGAGGAAGGUGGGGAUGACGUCAAGUCAUCAUGCCCCUUAUGUCCAGGGCUUCACGCAUGCUACAAUGGCCGGUACAAAGGGUUGCGAUGCCGUGAGGUGGAGCGAAUCCCAAAAAGCCGGUCUCAGUUCGGAUCGGGGUCUGCAACUCGACCCCGUGAAGUCGGAGUCGCUAGUAAUCGCAGA